GCCGGAGUUGCACUGCCGGUUCUUGCAUGCUCUUCUCUUCAACAACUUGGUGGUUCACAUGUGGGCACCAAAAAACUCAGGACCGGCCCUGCCAAGUAGGUUUCUAAAUUUGAGAGCCCGCUGCUCCAACUUUACCCAUCAAACUUGGGUUAAGACGAAGCAUCGUCUAUUACUCCACUGCAUCUUCCUCAAGAGUGGUUAACGAAUCAAAUGAUGGCCGACAUAUAUAGUGAGUGAACCUGCAAUGUUCAAAUAAUUUUUUUUUCUUUGUUUAUCAACUUGCUAUGCAAGUCACACAACAUCACACACGCUAAUAUAUAGAAAACAAACCUCUGAGUCCAGAUGCAACUUUGAAUACUCUUGAUUGCUCAUGAAAUCCACAAUGGUGAGAAGAAUGCUAUAACCUCUCAGUUCCUUUGGAUCACUUCCAGGAGAUAAGAUGUUCAUAAGCGGCAACAAUAGGCACAAUUUCAUUUGAAGUAUGUGGUAUAUAUUUUUCUUUAACUUCUGUGGAGUAUAUUUUUCUAUAGGGAGAGUAUGUGGAUGCAGAGUUUUGAUGAAAAUGUAGGAAAAGAACGCAGAGCUUUACCUUCACACGCUUUCUACAGUUUAUUCUGAAUCAAACUGUGAAAAGCAUGUUUUCUCUCAAAUCCAUUUCAAUACAAUAGGAUGCCAACUCAACUACUUCCCUUUUUCAUACCUCAGCUUAACAAGAUACUCCUAAAUUCAAAGAUGAAGAAAUUAUUAUGGAUACAUUUAUCUUAGAAAACAAGCAAAUAGAACUUAAAAUAAAAGAGAGCGGUGGAAAGCUCAAUUACAGCUCGUCUGCAGUGCUCAAUGUAAGAAUUAUCAUUCUUGUGAAGUCAGUAGCACACCAGCCCACUUAUUCUAGUAAUAUUAUUUACUGGAAUACCAACAAACUCAAGCAUGAGAACAGUGCUACAAGGAUCAAGCGAGCUGUUCAACCACUUUGUCUGUACAAAAGCAUAUCUGCAACCAUUCAAGGAUGAGAGUGACGUCAUAAUAAGAUGAAAAGGCAUGCUUCUCAUAUUCAAACUAUCAAAACAUCAGAAAAAAACAUCAGUCCAGGAGUUACCUCUCCGAUUAAAGGAGAAUUAUAUUCAUGCCAGAUAGCUGGGCUGGAGCUAGCACCAUGCAAAGACAACUAAUUGAUGCAUGUUUAAAUCGUUGGCUGUAGAUAAUCCUAUCUUUACAAUCCCAGCGUUGCCAUCUGCAUCAAUAAAGCCGAGAAAUAUGUUAGUCCCAUCGUGUUGUCCUGACUGAUUGCAUAGUUGAAUCAAAUUGUUACCGAAAGGAAGAACAAAUUACACGCAACUGUUCAACUACUUACACUGAAAUUUGUAGACGCAGCAGCCAGCCACGAAGUCUAGUACACUGGCAUUCUAGCAAGCGGUGCCAAUAAGCCAUGCUCUCUCCAACCAUUGUGUUUGCAGAGAAACAUAUGUAUAUGCAGCUACCACAAGAUGACAGAUGCAUUGAAAGAUGAUUCAAUAGUUUUCUCUCUGGACCGACAAAGUCCCACGCACAUUCAAUCUUUAUAUAGCUGUUGACAAGAGCUGAGGUCUAGAGGUCCCUGUCCCGGCAGGAAUUGCGAGAGUGGGAGGUGUUGUAAGUCCAUUUCCGUCCAAAAGUUUUCAAACUUAGCAGUCCAGAAAAUCAGAGCAUCAUUUGAUAAUCCUAUCUUUACAGGUUUGCUUGCUCGCUGCAUCAGUGAAACCGAUAUAUCUGUUAGUCCCAUCACACCUACCAGAAGAUUACAGUUAUGGCGCAAACGGGACAAGUAUGAGAAAUCAUCCAGGGAUUUACCUCUUGUCAUGCAGGAGAAUCAUAUAUAUCGACCCCAAGUAGUUCCACAGUAUAAGA